GCCAGCAGCCAUAUCAACUCACAACUGGCAACCUACUGAAGCUAAGCAGGUGUGAGCCUGGUCAGUACCUGGAUAGGAGACCUACUGGGAAAAACUAAGGUUGCUGCUGGAA
rnacentral:rRNA from 1 species